CAGCAGCCGCGGGAAUACAGAGGGUGCGAGCGUUAAUCGGAUUUACUGGGCGUAAAGCGUGCGUAGGCGGCUUCUUAAGUCGGAUGUGAAAUCCCUGAGCUUAACUUAGGAAUUGCAUUCGAUACUGGGAAGCUAGAGUAUGGGAGAGGAUGGUAGAAUUCCAGGUGUAGCGGUGAAAUGCGUAGAGAUCUGGAGGAAUACCGAUGGCGAAGGCAGCCAUCUGGCCUAAUACUGACACUGAGAAGCGAAAGCAUGGGGAGCGAACAGGAUUAGAUACCCCCGUAGUCCCUGUCUCUUAUAC
rnacentral:rRNA from 1 species